UUUUGGCCGACCACAGUAGCGGACGUCUCUUAAAAUCGCAAUUUACUUGGACAUGUACUAUUAGGCGAGGAGUUUAAACAUUUCGAACUCGAUUCUUCUUAGGAAAAGAAAUCUAUCAGAUUUUGAUCAGUACGUAUAGUAAUUAUUCAUAAUAAAAUUUUCAAAGAAGGAGAUAUUUUAUUGAUCGUAACUGCCAGAAACUCAAUCAAAAGGACACACGAGACAAUGGCUUUCAAAAUAAACUUGUUAUUCAUAUUUGUCGUCUUUAACAUAUUUAGCAUGGGAUAUCUAUCUAAUCCAAAAUCACUUUCGAUUAUUUCUUCGCGACCUAAAUAUUGUUUCGAAAAAAAUGUCUAUGGUGCUUGCCGUUACGACCCGACGAAAAUCACGCCGUACAAAAGACGCGAACCUGUCAUGGCAUUUGAAUUUUCCAAAGUUACGGAAAAUUGUGAAGGUUUCGAGUAUUGGGGAGAAGAUAGAAAAAAUUGCGGAGCAAGUAGAAAUAAAUUCGAUACUUAUGAAGAUUGUAUGCGACAGUGCAAAGAGUUUACUAUUUUUGACAUUAUAAAAGGAUCGAGAUCAAUAAAAUCAAUGAUAAAUAAAGAUUA